GGACUGAUGAAGAGUCGCACGAUAGGACGAAACGGCCGUCCAGUGC
rfam:Schistosoma haematobium scaffold1924_2, whole genome shotgun sequence.